GAAGGCUGGCGAUGGGCGUGCCCCUCGCGAACCCGGUCAGGUCCGGAAGGAAGCAGCCGUAACGAGUUUCGGUGCGGGUCGUUGUCAGUCUUCUUU
rnacentral:SRP_RNA from 1 species